rnacentral:rRNA from 1 species
AGAGUUUGAUCCUGGCUCAGGAUGAACGCUAGCGGCGUGCCUAAUGCAUGCAAGUCGAACGGGAUCCUUUGGAUUCGUCUGAAGGUGAGAGUGGCGAACGGGUGAGUAUCGCGUUGGUGACCUGCCCCAGAGAGGGGACAACCAGUGGAAACGCUGGCUAAUACCCCGGAUGUCAAUGUGUCUAGAAAGCAUUGACUAAAAGCUCCGGCGCUCUGGGAGGGGCCUGCGUCCCAUCAGCUUGUUGGUAGGGUAACGGCCUACCAAGGCGAAGACGGGUAGGGGGCGUGAGAGCGUGACCCCCCACACUGGUACUGAAACACGGACCAGAUACCUACGGGUAGCAGCAGCAAGGAAUAUUGCCCAAUGGACGAAAGUCUGAGGCAGCAACGCCGCGUGGAGGAUGAAGGCCUUCGGGUUGUAAACUCCUUUUCUGGGGGAAGAGAAAGGACGGUACCCCAGGAAUAAGGCCCGGCUAACUACGUGCCAGCAGCCGCGGUAAAACGUAGGGGUCGAGCGUUAUCCGGAUUUACUGGGCGUAAAGCGCAUGUAGGCGGUUGCUUAAGUCGGACGUGAAAGCUCCUGGCUCAACUGGGAGAGGCCGUUCGAAACUAGGUAACUUGAGGAUGGUAGGGGAAAGUGGAAUUCCCGGUGUAGUGGUGAAAUGCGUAGAUAUCGGGAGGAACACCAGUGGCGAAGGCGGCUUUCUGGGCCAUUCCUGACGCUGAGAUGCGAAAGCUAGGGGAGAGAACGGGAUUAGAAACCCCGGUAUUCCUAGCCGUAAACGAUGUCGACUAGCCGUUGGGCUCAUUUAAGGGUUUAGUGGCGCAGCUAACGCGAUAAGUCGACCGCCUGGGGAGUACGGCCGCAAGGUUAAAACUCAAAGGAAUUGACGGGGGCCCGCACAAGCGGUGGAGCAUGUGGUUUAAUUCGAUGCAACGCGAAGAACCUUACCAGCCCUUGACAUCCUCGGAACUUAGCAGAGAUGCUUUGGUGCCUUCGGGAGCCGAGUGACAGGUGCUGCAUGGCUGUCGUCAGCUCGUGUCGUGAGAUGUUGGGUUAAGUCCCGUAACGAGCGCAACCCUUGUCCUUAGUUCCCAGCACGUAAUGGUGGGAACUCUAAGGAGACUGCCGGUGAUAAACCGGAGGAAGGUGGGGAUGACGUCAAGUCAUCAUGGCCCUUAUGGGCUGGGCUACACACGUGCUACAAUGGUCGGUACAGAGGGUUGCGAAGCAGCGAUGUGGAGCCAAUCCCAGAAAACCGAUCGUAGUCCGGAUUGCAGUCUGCAACUCGACUGCAUGAAGUCGGAAUCGCUAGUAAUCGCGAAUCAGAAUGUCGCGGUGAAUACGUUCCCGGGCCUGGUACACACCGCCCGUCACACCAUGGGAGUUGGUUGCACCAGAAGUAGAUAGCUUAACCUUCGGGAGGGCGUUUACCACGGUGUGAUCAAUGACUGGGGUGAAGUCGAGACAAGGUA